ensembl:snRNA U6 U6 spliceosomal RNA
GUGCUUGCUUCAGCAGCACAUAUACUAAAAUUGGAACAAUACAGAGAGGAUUAGCAUGGCCCUGCACAAAGAUAACAUGCAAAUUCAUGGUGUUCAUUUAUUUAAU